rnacentral:rRNA from 1 species
AUUGAACGCUGGCGGCAUGCCUUACACAUGCAAGUCGAACGGCAGCACGGGUGCUUGCACCUGGUGGCGAGUGGCGAACGGGUGAGUAAUACAUCGGAACAUGUCCUGUAGUGGGGGAUAGCCCGGCGAAAGCCGGAUUAAUACCGCAUACGAUCUACGGAUGACAGCGGGGGACCUUCGGGCCUCGCGCUAUAGGGUUGGCCGAUGGCUGAUUAGCUAGUUGGUGGGGUAAAGGCCUACCAAGGCGACGAUCAGUAGCUGGUCUGAGAGGACGACCAGCCACACUGGGACUGAGACACGGCCCAGACUCCUACGGGAGGCAGCAGUGGGGAAUUUUGGACAAUGGGCGAAAGCCUGAUCCAGCAAUGCCGCGUGUGUGAAGAAGGCCUUCGGGUAGUAAAGCACUUUUGUCCGGAAAGAAAUCCUUGGCCCUAAUACGGUCGGGGGAUGACGGUACCGGAAGAAUAAGCACCGGCUAACUACGUG